GCAGCAUUCAGCUCUGGAUCACAUUCAGCUGUGUGCCCUUUUCCUUCAUAGGAGAAAGAAGCUGAGGCGGGAACUGCUGAGGUCCAUUUUCAGGCUUAUUCCAUUGAAGAUCUGCUCCUGUAUUGAACAAAACAAGAAGGUGUUCUAAAACCUGGGAAAAUGACCACAUGGAUCUACUUCGUUUAAGUUUGACCUGGUCCAAAGGAAGAAAUGGAGCAAAACUCUCCACCAGGGAAUGCUGCCUGGCUGUAUGAGCAGCCACCUUUCCAUUACACUUUGGAGGAAAUCAGGUUGUCUUCCAGUGAGUUCCAGUCACCAAAUGAUUUUAUUGUUACACUAUGACGAAGCAAUUUUUAUUUUGUGCACUUCAUGGUGCUCAAAAUGUUAGUUUUCACAGUAUAGAAUGGAUGUGACAGCAUUUGUCAUGGAAGCACUCA